GAGCUGAAUGACGACCAUUUGCCUUUUUGUGCGUUUUAUCUUACAGUUAGUUUUUAACUUGAACAGGACCUUUAGAGCAGAGAGCUGCAUUUCCCUCUGAGAAUUGCACGCUUGCGGAGCUCCCGGCCGCGCCGCCACUGGGCAUGCCCAGGGUUGCUGCGCCCUGUCCCGCGCAGGUACGACAUCCCCACCGCGGAGACCGGCCCUGUGGCCAGCGCCGCACUCGGUGCCUUCACGGGCUUUCACUUCAUCCCCAACCUGCCUUGUGAGGCGAACGCUACUCAGUAAGGCUCAGAGAUAGUCCUUGUUCAAGUCACUUCACCAGAAAGUGACAGAGCCCGAAUUCAAACCCAGGUCUGCCUGGUUCCAGGGCCCUCGCUGCUUCCGUUGUUCUUCACUGCCAAGGAGUCCUCUCCAAGGCUAUGCUCAGAAGUUGGAUUAAAGUACAGGUCCCCAUUUCAGAUUCUUUAGACUUUGCCCCGAGAAAGGGCUCAGGUGAUGCCGUCAGAGGUCCCGUAUUGAGGAGCUUCGCGUGGGAGACGUGUUCUCACGGCUCAUGGAGCCGUGUGGAUGAAGGAAGGAAAGGGUGACUCCAUCCCCGAGUCCUUCAGACAUACCGCAACAGGGUCUAGGUCACUCUGCCUCGUUCUUUGUCUACCUUCUGCCAAGGAACCGGUUCUCCCUGCCUGCCUUGGGAUUCUAGCAUAGGUAGUUUUGGAGUUUGUCCUAUUUAAAAUUUAUUUUCACUGCCUGCUUUGGACAUUUGUUCUGCUAAAGCUGUUAGGAUUUCAGUACAUUCAGGGCCGUGAUGGCAUGCCUCAGCCCUCAAGUCUGCUGUGUCUCCUCAGUUAAUAGAGUGGAAAUGUAGCCCAUCUGUCUGGACCGUAUAGAAGAAUUUGGAGAAAAAAAAAAUAACAGCUCCGACAUUCUGUGCUUCCAACUGCAGCAUGUAAUUAAAUGCUAAAGCAUCUGGCUUCCCGAGUAGAAAGAACAAGGCUGGAGGAAGGAAAAAGGAAGACAGAGAUCCUUCUGGGUUGCCCAUUUGUGCACCAGCCUCACUGCCAGCCGUCACAACAGGGGGACGUAGCAAGAUGCCAACUCCUAAUGACAGGGCUCGGGUGAGUUGGUGGUUCCCUGUUUAGCUCAGACACUGUGGGGAGUAUCUGAGACCGCAGAGGAGUGAGAGGUAAAACCAGGGCUGCUUAUGGUCAACAGUAGAACCUCCCUGCGUCCUGCAUGGGGCAGCUUCCCUUUCCCACUGUCCUGGACACGGUGAUCCUGGCCACCUUUGAGCAUGUGUGACAUGCUGGGGGAACAGUGACAGGGACAGCUGAAUUGGAAAAGGUAAGUAGGACAGGUUAGGCGAGAAGGGCAGGAAGGGCAACCCCACAGAGGAACAGCAUUUGCAAUGGCUCAGAGGAGUGCACGGCCAGGCAUGGGGAGGUGGUGGGGCAGAGUGUCACAAGAGGAGCCUGAAGAGGUGGCUGGGCACCAGGACACUCAGGACUUUAUCCAAGUCAAAGGGGAGACACAGCGUCAGUCUGGCAUUUACAUUUCCCUGGAUAAAAAAGAAAACAGCACUUUUUUCAAAUUUUUCCAUUUAUAUGAAAUAUCCAUGGAGACAGAACAUAGAUUGGUGGUUGCCAGGGGCUGGGGAGCAACUGCUUAAUAGGUACGAGGUUUCCUUUUGGAGUGAUGGAACGUUCUGGAACUAGGCAGAAGUGGUGGCUGUACAACAUUGUGAAUGUACGAACUGCCAAUAAAUUAACCACUUGAAAAUGGUUAA